GUCCUACGGGGGGCAGCAGUGGGGAAUAUUGGACAAUGGGGGGAACCCUGAUCCAGCGACGCCGCGUGAGUGAGGAAGUAUUUCGGUAUGUAAAGCUCUAUCAGCAGGGAAGAAAGAAAUGACGGUACCUGACUAAGAAGCCCCGGCUAACUACGUGCCAGCAGCCGCGGUAGUACGUAGGGGGCAAGCGUUAUCCGGAUUUACUGGGUGUAAAGGGAGCGUAGACGGCAGCGCAAGUCUGAAGUGAAAUCCCAUGGCUUAACCAUGGAACUGCUUUGGAAACUAUGCAGCUGGAGUGCAGGAGG
rnacentral:rRNA from 1 species